AGUUUUGGGAAUUCUAGUCUUUAAAAUCAUCAACGAGUUUAAAUAUACUGCAAGAGUAAAAAGAUGUCACUUUGAAAUACAUAUCUGAUAAAGACCUCUCCUGUUUAAAAUUUACCGCUGAAAGAUCCUGAGGUGGUGGAUGAAUGAUGACAUGCAAUAAGGACAAAUAUAACAAAUGAAUUUAUAAAAUAAAUCUUGUAUCAAAAGAAA